UGAUAUAUCAUCUUAUUUUGCCAAUUUCAAAGCAAUGCAACAUUUGUAAGUAUAACAUUAUUAAUAUGUUUUCAUAAUGAAUUUAGUUUUGCAAAUUCAUACACUUCAUAUGUUUUUUAUAGCUACUCCUCGCACUUCUAUUUCAGGGACUUGUCAUACAAUAAAUUGACAGGGUCAAUUCCUUAUGCCCUUGCACAACUACCAUCUCUGGUGGAGCUGUAAGAAAUUCUCACCCGUGCUUCACAUUGAAUCUUUUCAGCUAGAGAUAUUAAAGUAAAUCUACCAUUCUUUAUACUUAAGACACUUUGCAAAAAACAUCAUUUUAGAAAACUUAAUGAUUAAUUAACCUCUAGAAUAAGCAUGCCUUAUGUAUUAC
rnacentral:lncRNA from 1 species